UGGGGAAUAUUGGACAAUGGGCGCAAGCCUGAUCCAGCAAUACCGCGUGUGUGAAGAAGGCCUGCGGGUUGUAAAGCACUUUCAGUAGGGAGGAAAAGUUAGUCGUUAAUACCGGCUAACCCUGACGUUACCUACAGAAGAAGCACCGGCUAACUCUGUGCCAGCAGCCGCGGUAAUACAGAGGGUGCGAGCGUUAAUCGGAAUUACUGGGCGUAAAGGGCGUGUAGGUGGUUGCUUAAGUUAGAUGUGAAAGCCCCGGGCUCAACCUGGGAACUGCAUCUAAAACUGGGCAGCUAGAGUAUGGUAGAGGGAAGUGGAAUUUCUAGUGUAGCGGUGAAAUGCGUAGAUAUUAGAAAGAACACCAGUGGCGAAGGCGGCUUCCUGGACCAAUACUGACACUGAGGCGCGAAAGCGUGGGUAGCGAACAGG
rnacentral:rRNA from 1 species